UUAUCUGUGUAACUCACAGAG
rnacentral:rRNA from 1 species